rnacentral:lncRNA from 1 species
CCAAAAAUACUGAAGUAUCAAUCUUUCUAGAUGCCGUUUGUUCUUCUUACAUUUCUUUAUUAUUAAUAAAUUGAUCCAAGAUGUUGUUUGUUUUUUGCGGGAGAAAUGACUUCGUAGCACUUAAUAAACAUUUUUUAAUGGCUUUUUUACGAGUAUUUUUUAUUUUUACACAACAAAUUUAUAAAGAUCAUUUUCAUCUAUUCAAUUUGUAACAUAAAAUCUCAGUCCCUUAAUUUUUACUUUAUUGACCUUCGUUGAAAAUAAGGAAGGGAAACUUUUUUUUACUUGUGAUCACUUAGAGCCCCCUUCUAUCAAUAAAUAUUCUCAAG